rnacentral:rRNA from 1 species
UACAGAGGGCUCGAGCGUUAGGCGGAAUCACUGGGCUUAAAGCGUGUGUAGGUGGAUGCCUAAGUACCUUGUGAAAUCCCACAGCUUAACUGUGGAACUGCUUGGUAUACUGGGUGUCUUGAGUCACUCAGGGGCGAGCGGAACAAAUGGUGGAGCGGUGAAAUGCGUAGAUAUCAUUUGGAACGCCAAUGGUGAAAACAGCUCGCUGGGGGUGCACUGACACUGAGACACGAAAGCCAGGGGAGCGAACGGG